GACGAACGCUGGCGGCGUGCCUAAUACAUGCAAGUCGAACGCAGUGGGGACGGGUGAGUAACACGUGGGUAACCUCCCAUCAGAGGGGAUAACACUUGGAAACAGGUGCUAAACCGAUACUGCUGGAUGGACCCGCGGUGCAUUAGCUAGUUGGUGAGGUAACGGCUCACCAAGGCCACGAUGCAUAGAGGAGCUGAGAGGGUGAUCGGGCACAAGUGGACGGAGACACGGCCUAGACUCCGACGGGAGGCAGCAGUAUGGAAUUGUCGCAGAGGGACGAAGGCCUGACACAGCAACGCCGCGUGAGUGAAGAAGGUUUUGGGAUCGUAAAACUCUGUUGAUAGUGAAGCGGUAUCUAACCAGAAAGCAACGGCUAACUACGUGCCAGCUGCCGCGGUAAUUC
rnacentral:rRNA from 1 species